rnacentral:lncRNA from 1 species
CGAAGCCUGACCACGCUACUCCUCCUGGUCCUCUCCUGCGGAAGCAGUAACCCACUCGACCGUCUAUCCCGGUGGCAGGGAUGGAGGCCAAGUCACACCAUCAACCAAAUCAAGGAGGUACCUGCAAAAAUUAUGCCACAAGCAAGGCUGAGUAUACUAAUACUCAGCUAGACUUACCCGGUGUGAGGAGUCUACUCCUCUACCUCUAGACCAUGCAGCUGUUUGGCUGAGGGGUUUGGUUUGCCAAAAGCACUAGCUGAGUCUAAAAACAAGUUUUAGCUUUUCAAGUUCUAGAAUAAUAAUUUAGACUAGAUGAGUACCUAACUAUCCAUAAAUAAUAUCAAACAUUAUAUCAAUCAACACCUUUUGCUUGUGUCUCAUUUCCACUUCUUACUCAAUGAGUACAAUGGAUCAAGCAGUCUCAUUAGCUGCGAGAAGUAGACGAUUCGAAUCGAGUUUUAACCUUGCAAGGUAAACCUAAACACACGACAUGUCAGGGCACUCCAUCCCCACACAUGUCAACCGUCCCCAUCGAUUCCGCGUUCGCGGCCAGGCCUCACCGCCUUGGCAUACAAUGCUCCACUGACCCCGGCCGCCGGUGUGAAGUGGCCGCACUUGUACCCACCAUAUCUAGAAUGGGAGACCCAGUCUCAAGUCGCGUGAGGGAUAAAGUCUGCGCUCGGCUUCACUCAGGUACUAGGUUUACCGGUUACCAUAUUUCCCGACAUGUGUUUAGUACGUCCAAACGCUUGACACAGGUAUCCACACGUUAAUCCUUAUUCCAAUUUCGUCUCAUAGACAACGCAUCCCCAUGGAUCCGUGUCCAUAGACCAUCAUCAUUUUGUUAUCAAAAUUGGAUACAACCAAUUCCUGACCUCGCGCGAGUGCUAGAAAAAUCACUCGACUUCUACCGAGAUCCUGAUUUAGCAUAGCAGCUACUCGACCUAGCAUACUAGUAUCCAUCUCAAAAGGAAUCCUGAGUUCAUGCAACUAGGGUUUGAACCAACUCCUACACUUAAGUGCACGGUACAAGCCUACAAAGAUUAAGUGUAGUAAAAUAGCAUAUAUAAACGGUUAUGCAUAAAACCGGGGCUUGCCUUUAAUUUAACACUUAGGUAGUGUUUGCUGGGGGAGGUGCUCGCUUGGCAAGCAUCCACUGGUUAAGUCCAUCCUUCCUUGGGUCGUCCACCGACUACAACUUGUGGUUGGCACCACAUCACUUGCA